rnacentral:lncRNA from 1 species
GCUCAACCACAAAAACAUGGAGCUUCAAGAUCACCUCAAGGGUGGAAGCAACAUGGAUGGGCUUCCAAGCACAGGCAUAACUAUUUGGCAGUUUCUUGCAUCCUUACUUGUGGAGGCCUGAGAUUUUAGACUUGUGGAGGCCUGAGAUUUUAGACUACAUAGGCUAGUGAAGGCCAUUCAAGGACGCUGCUCUGGAUCAAGAAGAAACAAAUAUGGAAUCGAUAAGGACCCAGUGAAACAUCAUUCAUCCAAAUGCACCCUUGAUGACAAAAUUGAAAGUAGAAAACUCAACAUGGCGGAAAGGAUUUUCAUGAAUUUACACCAGAGUGGCUCAAAUUUAGGAAAAUGGCUAAAUAGAAUUUGAUAAAGUUGCCACACUCUUAACAUUGGUGCUCCAGCAAAUAAGAUGAAGCAACUGCUACUUUCACCAGACCUGGCUGCUGAAAACACUAAAAGUGUAUAAGUUUUAAAAUGGUGAUUCAACUCAUCAAGCAGACUAAAAAAAGUCACUAUGAAACUUUGCUCACAAUGACCAUUGCGUUUCAUAAAAAGAUUGGAUAGGUGAGUCUGUAUCUGCAGAAAGCCUCAAACAACUCCAAUGCAAGGGAAAAGAGAGCAGUCAAUGAAUAUGCCAAUUUGGUAUAAAAUCCUAUGAUAUUCCUCCUGUUCUUGAACAGGUAGAUGGCAAAAAAGCCAGAAAUUCAAAUCAAGCCACCAUUUUGGCCAUGCAGAUCACAUCCUUGGAUUUGCAUGAACAAGUUCUUUUUUUUUUUUUUUUUUUUUUUAAAAAGAAGAUGAGAAAAACUAGUCACAACCGGGAAUGCAAGAGUAGCGGCGCCCACAAAAUGAGACUGAAACACAAGAUUUUUAAAAAUAAAGGAAAGAAAAAUACACCAACACAAACAGAACAUCUAAAGAUUGAACAAGAAAACAUGUCCCUUCAUGAGUGAAGAUAGAAAAAAAAAGGAAAGCUUUGCAGAACUUUAAAAAUCAUCAUAGAGUAAGCCUAAACAGCUCAGAAGCACGUUAAUACAUGGCAUAUCCAUCCAGGCAACUGAGGAUCACUGGGAGGGCCAAAAAAAGAGUGAAAAUGCUCCAAAAAUCAAAACAUGGAGAAAUUUUUUUAUCGUAUAAAUGGAAAGGAAAAAAAUGGGAGAACCCCCAAUAAAAGAAAGGGUGCAUGAUAGGAAGGCAAGGGACAGAAAAGGACUGAACGGAGACGCACAAUGCAAACUCAUCAAAACUUGAGCUCAGACAAACAAAAAUAAAUUUCCUAUUGAAGCGAAGCGAACCAUAAUAGGGGGAAGGCUAAAUACAUGGAUAUUUGAACUGCAAUUGCUUAGAAUAAGAUGGAUGAAAAAAAUUAGGAAAUAGGCGAACUAGGAACGGCAAAAGACAGCAUGAGGACCAUUAGAGAAGGAAGACAGCAGUCAAAAGGAUAAGACAUCGAAUCAAGCAUGGUCACCAGCGCAAACGUUACCAAUGCCUCAUGAUAUAGCAUCAUAACCCCCAACACACCAAAAUUUCUCAAAUCCAAAACCAAACAGACAAAUUGAAUAUGAAACAAAAAAUUCAAGAAGAUCCAAAUUCAUAGCCAUAAAGUUCAAUAACCAUAACAAAGAAUUUUCUAACUGGGUGUUUUACCUCAGCAAUCCACCAGCCGAGCUACAAUCAAAUCGCUGACAAAUACUCAUACGAGUCUCAAACCCACAUCUUCAAUUAUAUAAAUAAAGAAAAUUCCUUAAUGCCAGCAAGAACAAGCCCAACUUUUUCUUUUUCAGACAAAAAAUGGUAACUGUUAUUACCAAAAAAAUCAUCCUUCAAAUCCUAAAAUAGGGGCAAGAAAAGAAAAGGAUACACAAGACGCCAGAACUCCAAACCAUAAUUUCAAACAAACCCUAACCUUGUUUCAUUAAAAGUAAAAAAGGAAUCCAAAUGAAUCGCCUCGGAACCAGAACGCAACCAAAAGCCACAACCUUUUCAUCUUUUGGACCACUCAUACAGCACCGAAACCACACCCACCCAGAACAAUGAUUAACGAAAAAAACAAGAAAAUAAAACCCCAAAUGAAAACAAAUCAUCCAAAAAUGGGGGAAAGGGAGUCCAAUAACCUCAAAAUUACAUCUCCAAAAUUCCAAUCAAUCAGGACUUUCGAUGGAUCGAAACUCUAAUCAGAUGCACUCACCAGCUGAGGACCGCCAGAGACGGACGACCGACGGCGGACCGAGGCAUCGUCGUCGGGACGAUAGCCGGCGGUCAAGGGGCACAGCACCGACCAGAAAGCAGGAGGAGGUUGGAAGAAAUAAUACCGGAAAUCAUUGUGGUGGGGGAUUAUUACGUACGCUCGCAUUGGG